UGCCCAGCAACAUCAGCUGCUCGUAGGACGUGCCCAGCAACAUCAGCUGCUCGUAGGACGUGCCCAGCAGCUGGUCCUGGUGCACCCCGCGAUCCAGGUUCGCUCUGUGGUUUCCCUUCUCCCUGACAAGAGGCACGGAGGGAGUAUCCCGGCCUAGAGCUGUGCAUGGUAAAGACUCACAGUGCCACCUUACCGCUAUGAGAGAAAUGGCACUCGUCUGGACUCUGCUCUAACCAGGGUUGGCCUACGUCUCUCGUGUCUAAAGCCAUCAUAAGGAUUUGAACUUAUCAAUAGAAAGUGGAGAGGGAGAGAGAAGAACGGAGACUGAAAGGCGAGAGGCAAGAAUUCUCCUAGACAUCAGCAACGGGUGCAGAAGGAACCUGUGUCUGAGUUGUGCAGCAUCCAAGAUCCUGUAGGGGCUGUUCAUUUGCAUUGCCGUGAUGGAGAAAAGUGUUAUGAUGUCCAUCUUACAGACGGGGAAUUGAAGUAAGAAGGAAUGCCUGUAAUCCCAGCACUUUGGGAGGCCAAGGCAGGCAGAUCACCUGAGGUUGGGAGUUUGAGACCAGCCUGACCAACAUGGAGAAACCCGUCACUACUAAAAACACAGAAUUAGCUGGGCAUGGUGGCACAUGCCUGUAAUCCAGCUACUUGGGAGGCUGAGGCAGGAGAACCUGGGACGCAGAGGUUGCAGUGAACCGAGAUUGUGCCAUUGCACUCCAGCCUGGGCAAGAAGAGCAAAACGCCGUCUCAACAAAAAAGAAGAAGAAGAAGAAGAAGAAGGAAUUAGUCAAUUUUCCCAAGUUGAUCUCCAAGUAGAGGAAAUUGAAAAGAAAAAGAUAAUCUGUAAUUCAUCACCUGGAGACAACUGCUAUUGACAUUGCCUUGUGUAUCCAAGGACUUUGACAGAUGAGGAAAUUGAAGUUCAGAGAGAUGAAGGGACCUAAUUGAGAUUAUGUAGCUAGUGACAGAACCAGGCUGAGAAUCCAGAUCUUGGAACUGCAAAUUGUGCGUAUGCAUGUGUGUGUGUGUGUGUAUGUAUGUAAAGUUGUGAUAACAUUCCACUAUGGGGAGUGGUAUAGGUUCAUGGUAAAGUGGAUGGUUCUUGGAGACAGGGGACUGACUUCUGCAUUAAAUUUGCUGCUCUGAUAAUGUUGUGAAUUGAAGAAUAUGAAGAACCUUUGACUUGUUCUUUGUUAUCUUCAUAUAUCAAAUAGGGCUGUUAGUACUAUUU